rnacentral:tRNA from 1 species
UGCCCAAUGCGGGAAUUGAACCCGGGUCGUAGUGGUCAAAAACCAACAGUUUAGACCACCCUUCCACCGACAGCUUGCACCACGC